CGUGCAGGCGGAGUGUCAGGUGUUGUGUGAAAGCCCCGGGCUCAACUCGGGAAUGGCACGGCAAACCGGCAUUCUUGAGGCGGGUAGAGGUGACUGGAACGACUGGUGGAGCGGUGAAAUGCGUAGAUAUCAGUUGGAACGCCAGAGGCGAAAGCGAGUCGCUGGACCCGUCCUGACGCUGAGACGCGAAAGCGUGGGUAGCGAACA
rnacentral:rRNA from 1 species